rnacentral:rRNA from 1 species
AGAGUUUGAUUAUGGCUCAGGAUGAACGCUAGCGGCAGGCCUAACACAUGCAAGUCGAGGGGUAACGAUGGUUUCGGCCAGGCGACGACCGGCGCACGGGUGCGUAACGCGUAUGCAACCUACCUUUAACAGGAAGAUAGCCCCGAGAAAUCGGGAUUAAUACUCCAUAAUAAUAAGAAAUGGCAUCAUUUUUUAUUUAAAGCUCCGGCGGUUAAAGAUGGGCAUGCGUGACAUUAGUUAGUUGGUAAGGUAACGGCUUACCAAGACAACGAUGUCUAGGGGUUCUGAGAGGAUUAACCCCCACACUGGUACUGAGACACGGACCAGACUCCUACGGGAGGCAGCAGUGAGGAAUAUUGGUCAAUGGACGCAAGUCUGAACCAGCCAUGCCGCGUGAAGGAUGAAGGCCUUAUGGGUUGUAAACUUCUUUUAUACGGGAAUAAACUUAGCUAUGUAUAGUUAACUGCAGGUACCGUACGAAUAAGCACCGGCUAACUCCGUGCCAGCAGCCGCGGUAAUACGGAGGGUGCAAGCGUUAUCCGGAUUUAUUGGGUUUAAAGGGUCCGCAGGCGGACCAGUAAGUCAGUGGUGAAAUCUCUCGGCUCAACCGAGAAACUGCCAUUGAUACUGUUGGUCUAGAGUGUAGUUGGCGUAGGCGGAAUAUAUCAUGUAGCGGUGAAAUGCUUAGAUAUGAUAUAGAACACCGAUCGCGAAGGCAGCUUACGAAACUACAACUGACGCUCAGGGACGAAAGCGUGGGGAGCGAACAGGAUUAGAUACCCUGGUAGUCCACGCCGUAAACGAUGAUUACUCGUUGUCGGCAAUAUACAGUCGGUGGCUAAGCGAAAGCGAUAAGUAAUCCACCUGGGGAGUACGAUCGCAAGGUUGAAACUCAAAGGAAUUGACGGGGGCCCGCACAGCGGAGGAGCAUGUGGUUUAAUUCGAUGAUACGCGAGGAACCUUACCUGGGCUUAAAUGCUUAAUGACGUACUGGAAACUGGUAUUUCUUCGGACAUUUUGCAAGUGCUGCAUGAUGUCGUCAGCUCGUGCGUGAGUGUUCGGGUUAAGUCCAUACGAGCGCAACCCCUAUUGUAGUUGCCAUC